rnacentral:snRNA from 1 species
GUGCUCAUUUUAGCAACACAUACACUAAACAAAGAUGAGCAUGGCCCCUGCUCAAGGACGACAUGCAAAUUCACCGAGUGUUCCCUAGGUUU